GACGAACGCUGGCGGCGUGCUUAACACAUGCAAGUCGAACGGAAAGGCCCUGCUUUUGUGGGGUGCUCGAGUGGCGAACGGGUGAGUAACACGUGAGUAACCUGCCCUUGACUUUGGGAUAACUUCAGGAAACUGGGGCUAAUACCGGAUAGGAGCUCCUGCUGCAUGGUGGGGGUUGGAAAGUUUCGGCGGUUGGGGAUGGACUCGCGGCUUAUCAGCUUGUUGGUGGGGUAGUGGCUUACCAAGGCUUUGACGGGUAGCCGGCCUGUGAGGGUGACCGGCCACAUUGGGACUGAGAUACGGACCAGACGGCUACGGGAGGCAGCAGUGGGGAAUAUUGCACAAUGGGCGGAAGCCUGAUGAAGCAACGCCGCGUGCGGGAUGACGGCCUUCGGGUUGUAAACCGCUUUCGCCUGUGACGAAGCGUGAGUGACGGUAAUGGGUAAAGAAGCACCGGCUAACUACGUG
rnacentral:rRNA from 1 species